rnacentral:tRNA from 1 species
GCUCAUGAUGUCCAGUGGAUGGGCCCGAGCUUAACACACUCGGUGGCGCUGGUUCGAUUCCAGCCAGGAGCU